UGAAUAGAUAGGGAGGGAAGUCUAGU
rnacentral:piRNA from 1 species